rnacentral:piRNA from 1 species
UCACUGUGUUAAUUCCCUGGAAGGGGCCAAG